rnacentral:tRNA from 1 species
GGCCGUUUGGUCUGGUGGUAUGAUUCUCGCUUAGGGUGCGAGAGGGUCCCGAGUUCAAUUCUCGGAACGCCCC